rnacentral:rRNA from 1 species
GACGAACGCUGGCGGCGUGCCUAAUACAUGCAAGUAGAACGCUGAAGGAGGAGCUUGCUCUUCUGGAUGAGUUGCGAACGGGUGAGUAACGCGUAGGUAACCUGCCUGGUAGCGGGGGAUAACUAUUGGAAACGAUAGCUAAUACCGCAUAAUAGUAGAUGUUGCAUGACAUUUACUUGAAAGGUGCAAUUGUAUCACUACCAGAUGGACCUGCGUUGUAUUAGCUAGUUGGUGGGGUAACGGCUCACCAAGGCGACGAUACAUAGCCGACCUGAGAGGGUGAUCGGCCACACUGGGACUGAGACACGGCCCAGACUCCUACGGGAGGCAGCAGUAGGGAAUCUUCGGCAAUGGACGGAAGUCUGACCGAGCAACGCCGCGUGAGUGAAGAAGGUUUUCGGAUUGUAAAGCUCUGUUGUAAGAGAAGAACGAGUGUGAGAGUGGAAAGUUCACACUGUGAC